UUCCCUAGAAAACAGCUUUUCUGAAGUCUGGAAGUAUCCAGCUCCUUACACUGGGUUUGGUGGAGGUCGUGGAGCAGCACCAACAGGUCUAAAUCAGGGUGGGGGUGUUUGGCCUUUCCAGGCUUCACGAGAUUGAUUCCUGACCACCUUGCUGUGAAUGGCACAACUCACGCAGUAAUGGAGCUUUAGGUAGAGCUU